rnacentral:misc_RNA from 1 species
GUGGGAGGGGGCUUGCUCCCGAUGAGGGUGUGUCAGCCAGCCAAUUUGAAACUGACCCAUCGCUAUCGGGAGCAAGCCCCCUCCCAC